ensembl:lncRNA
AUGAUCAGAAUCUUCCCGGAUUUCAGCGUUCAGGUGACAGCGGCAGGUGGAGGAGCCGGGGGAAUGCCAUCAGGUCACGCCAUGGGGAGAGUCCCCGGUACAACUAACGGGAACCCGCAGAACGUCCAGGGGAUCACCUCCUAUCAACAAAGCGACCCUUACUGGGAGAGGCCUGCUAAUGCCAGCUCCUGUUCUGUCUCUAGGCCCAAGACACUCCACCUUGGAGGAGGGCAACAACAUACCUCAUCGCCAUGGUAAUCCCCCCCUUACCUUCUCUGUCUUCCCUUCUUCCUUCUGGUCAGGGGCAGACCAGGCCACAGCUCAGAUGCUGUACAUACUGUUACUACUACCAGCUACCUCCCUCUCUGGUCUGGUUAGAGGGACAACAUGGUUAAGGAUGCCAGCUUGUGUAAAGGCAGGCAUGGGUCGAUAAUCCAGAGCAGAGGCCAAGGUACAGGACGGCAGGCAGGCUCAGAGACAGGCAGUGGUCAGGCGGGCAGGUACAGGGUCAGGACGGGCAAAGGUCAAAACCAGGAGGACGAGAAAAUGAGAGACUAAGGAAAAACAGGAGCUGAGACAAAACGCUGGUAGGUUUGAACAAACAAGACGAACUGGCAACAGACAAACAGAAAACACAGGUAUAAAUACACAGGGGAUAAUGAAGAAGAUGGGUGACAUCUGGAGGGGGGUGGAGACAAGCACAAAGACAGGUGAAACAGAUCAGGGCGUGACACUUUCUUAUUUUACACAGGUGCUUUUUAUGUCAUUUAGAUUUUUUAUGUCAUUUUACUUUUAUAUUAUUUCUGAUAUUGAGUUAAUUGAUCUAAGGGGAGUUAGCUAUAUUUUGUCUAGGUAACUACAGUUCAAAUUAAGGUUCCCUCUCUUCAUUUGCCAUCCAAAGACAAUACCGUGUGUAGACAGUAAUACUCUUAUUUGACCUGGCUUUAUGGCUUUGAGCGUUGAUAAAUGAUACACCUCUCAGGGGAACACUGACUGUCCCUUUAUAAAACAGGGCAAACUGCUCUGUGUUGUCAAACUGGGGAAGAUAAAAGGCUUCAUAGUGGGAAGUUGAGUUUUGACAUAUUCCUCUGAGACUACGUCUCUACGUCUUACAGCUUCAGAAGUCUUUUCAGUUCUCCCCUCUUUCAGAUCCUUUGUAGUAAAAGACCUAGGCUUACACAUUAGGAAAUAAACAUGGAGCAUAAUUCCUCUAGCUCUCUCUCUCUCCCUCCCUCACUCUGAUGUACAGCACAGGGGUGAGGGCAGGAUUACUGUCGGCCUGAAUAAAGGGGAUUUAUUGAUGUAACACUUUGAGAAAAAAGCACUUCUUAAUAGCUCAUCACAGUCUGUAUGUAUUAUGAGGCUAGUCUCAGGCCUACAACCCCUUAUGUGCUGCCUUACAAACAGGCAGACAGGCCUACACCCCCUUACGUGCUGCCUUACAAACAGGCAGACAGGCCUACACCCCAGGACAGUACACACACUACAUUCCUGUAGUCCUACACCCCAGGACAGUACAUACACUACAUUCCUGUAGGCCUGUACCCCUGGACAGUACACACACUACAUUCCUGUAGGUCUACACCCCAGGACAGUACAGACACUACAUUCAUGUAGGCCUGUACCCCUGGACAGUACACACACUACAUUCCUGUAGGCCUGUACCCCAGGACAGUACACACACUACAUUCCUGUAGUCCUACACCCCAGGACAGUACACAC